rnacentral:rRNA from 1 species
UACGGGGGGGGUAAGCGUUGUUCGGAAUUACUGGGCGUAAAGAGCGUGUAGGCGGCCCGGUAAGUCCGCUGUGAAAGUCCAGGGCUCAACCCUGGGAUGCCGGUGGAUACUGUCGGGCUCGAGUCCGGAAGAGGAGUGUGGAAUUCCUGGUGUAGCGGUGAAAUGCGCAGAUAUCGGGAGGAACACCUAUGGCGAAGGCAGCUCGCUGGGACGUUACUGACGCUGAGACGCGAAAGCGUGGGGAGCAAACAGG